rnacentral:tRNA from 1 species
AGUUAGCGUAGCAAAGUCCGGCAUUGCCAAAGAUCUAAGCCCUUUUCACAGAGGUUCAAGUCCUCUCACUAACU